CCCCUAUCAAGGUCGCAUCUGGAGAGUUUCCAAUACUCUGCCAGUCUCGGCUAGGGGAGGGAGAGUCAGGAAGAGGCCUACCCAUUCCAUUCCUAGCUUGGGCUAGCGAGUGGAAGGCAAUCUGCUACAAGU